AAUGUGGCAGGAUCUUAUGUAAGAGGUCUACAACCCUGAUUUCUAACCCUUCCGUGUUCGUCAAGCUCACAUCCAUGGCGGCUUCAACAGCUUCGGCAGCCCUUUCUGGAAACCCUAACCUCACGUCUUCGCACAAGCCCCACGCUUCUCUCUCUCCUCACUCAUGUCUCCGAUUCUCCACCGCAAUCUCUCGUAAAUUCCCCUUCAAAUCUCUCACGACUAUCCCCUUCACUACCGCCACUACCGCCGCCUCCACUCGUCGGUCCACCACUGUUACCGCCAGCUCCACCUCAUUUCACGGCCUCUGCUACGUCGUCCACGACAACAUUGAUACGGACCAAAUCAUCCCCGCUGAGUACCUCACCCUCGUCCCGUCUAACCCCGACGAGUACCAAAAGCUCGGCUCUUACGCCUUCAUCGGCCUUCCCUCGUCCUAUGAAACCCGCUUCAUUGAAGCCGGCGAGUUGAAAACCAAGUACACCAUCGUCAUCGCCGGCCAAAACUUCGGAUGCGGCUCCUCCCGCGAGCACGCGCCAGUGGCGUUGGGCGCCGCGGGCGCCAGAGCCGUAGUGGCUGAGUCGUACGCGCGGAUCUUCUUCCGGAACUCUGUGUCCACUGGCGAGGUUUAUCCUUUGGAAACGGAGGUUAGGAUUUGCGAGGAGUGCCGUACUGGAGAUGUUGUCACCAUUGAGCUUGGAGAGAGCAAGUUGAUCAACCAUACCACAGGAAAGGAGUAUAAAUUGAAUCCAGUUGGGGAUGUCGGACCGGUAAUUGAGGCCGGUGGGAUUUUCGCGUAUGCGAGGAAGACCGGGAUGAUUCCCGCCCAAACCGCUUAGAAUUUGAGAAUCAUAAAAAUGAGCAGGACAUGGUUUACUUGUCAGAGUUUGUUUACCGGUCAUAUGACAAUUAUGUAUCACAAAAUUGACUCCUCGUUUAUUGCAGGUGGGUGGAAAAAGGUUGCAACCUCUCUCGUAGAAGUUUAGCUUGAGAAUUUGUAACUAUACUAAAAAUAAAACAACUUUUUGUGCCCUGCUCUGCUCUGAAACAGUGUCUCCUUAUGCUGUUGCACCUGCACUAGCUUUCACUCUAAGAUGCAGUUAAUUAUUAUGAUCUAGUCUAUUUGAGUCAUUUCAGAAUUGAUGGAUUCUGUUGAUCUUUUAUAAACUAUAAAAAAAAUGGGUUCUUAAA